rnacentral:lncRNA from 1 species
AUGGCGGCGACGGCGCACGGCAGCGGAAUGGUGGCGCAGCUUGGCGCAGGGUGUUGGGGGCGGUGGCGUCGACUGCCGGCGUCGGCGCUUGGUGGCAGCGCCUGGCUGCGGGGGCGUCGAGUGCCGGCGGCGGCGCUUGGUGGCGGCGCCCGGCGGCGGGGAUGGCAGCGCCCGGCGGCGAACGGUGGCGACGAGAAUGGCGGAAUAGUGGCUCUUGCGGAGCCAAAUCUCGACAGAGCCGAGGAGAGGAGAGCCUCACGGAUGGGGACGAGAAGUGCACGUGAGUCGAUCCCGACGGCAAAGGUGAGCAGCAGCCGGUGGCUAGCGGACGCCCCCCUCCCGGACGUGGCGAUGAUGGGUUUCUUGACAACGGUCAGCUUGGCCUCCGUGCAAGCGAGGGCUCGGCGAUGGUAACAGUGACAGA